rnacentral:rRNA from 1 species
CCCUUAGAUGUUCUGGGCCGCACGCGCGCUACACUGACUGGUGCAACAAGUGUCGCUCCUUGGCCGAUAGGCCUGGGCAAUCUUUGAACGCCAGUCGUGAUGGGGAUAGAUUCUUGCAAUUUUUGAUCUUCAACGAGGAAUUCCUAGUAAACGCGAGUCAUCAACUCGCAUUGAUUACGUCCCUGCCCUUUGUACACACCGCCCGUCGCACCUACCGAUUGAAUGGUCCGGUGAACCCUCCGGAUCGGCCCGCGCCAACGCAAGUUGAGCAAAGGCCGAGAAGUUGGGUAAACCUUACCAUUUAGAGGAAGGUGAAGUCGUAAUA